UAUUUAUAAAAAUACAUACUGUGUAGUGAUCACUUAUUAACACACUGACACAUAAUUCACACAUGGAACUACAGGUUGGGGCUAUUGUUUCAGCACGGACAUAUAUGUGGUUACAUAUAUAUAUUAGGGCUGUCAAGUUAACGCGUUAAUAACGCGUUAACGCAAAACAAAAUUAACGCCACUGUGACCGGACGUCACGUCUCCUCCCUCUGUGACGCUGCUUGGCACCAUGCCAGCGCACCUGUUAAUUUACGCACCUGCUAUUUAAGUGGAGGAGACAAAUCUGCUCCCUCCCCCUCCGCUUCUCCUUUGUGGCCGCGUGGAUUGUUUGGCGUGGCAGCUCGCGCAUCACACUCUCUACCAGACAGCUGACGCCCGGUGCGUUUGAGGAGGAUUGGCUCCUCCGGAGGUUCCCGGUCUUGCAGUGUUGCAACUAUUGGCGAGUUGCCGUUGUCUGCCGUAUUCUCACCUUCAGCUUGGUUCCUCUGGUGUACUGACUGUUAUUCAUGUCACAGUGGGAUUUGGCCGUGGGAUUGUUGGGUCUCUCUCUCCCUUCCCUGUGGGCUCUGUGGCUGCAACUGGCCGCACAGGCUGGGGUGCCAUAAACAUUCUCCCUUCCUGGUGGGCUCUGUGGCAGCGCCUAGCUGUAAAAGUUGGGAUGCCGUAACCACUCUCCCCACCUCUGGUCAUCAUUCCCCAG